rnacentral:rRNA from 1 species
UACGUGAAGGGGCGAGCGUUGUCCGGAUUUAUUGGGCGUAAAGCGCGCGCAGGCGGCCUUUUAAGUCUGAUGUGAAAGCCCACGGCUCAACCUGUGGAAGGUCAUUGGAAACUGAAAGGCUUGAGUACAGAAGAGGAAAGCGGAAUUCCACGUGUAGCGGUGAAAUGCGUAGAGAUGUGGAGGAACACCAGUGGCGAAGGCGCUUCUGGUCGUGUAACUGACGCUGAGGCGCGAAAGCGUGGGAGCAAACAGG